UCGCCUCAGCCGCUCUGUCCCGUUCCUCACCCCCGCCCAGCCUGGCCAGGCAGAAAAAUACGUGUAUAUAUCUCUGAUUUUUCUUCCUUGCAUACCUGCUACUGUAGCCACUCCGCCUUACACCUUCGCCCAGCUGUCUGAGGCUUCCUGUGGGCGGGCAGAAGUGCCCCGGCCAAAACAAGUUCAAAUAAGUUUGUUCCCUGACCUCUGCUUUUUCUUAGCUCUUCUGCUUUCCUGUAGUCACUUUUCUGUAUUCACUCCUGUGCCCUCUCUCCUCACCCGGGCAUGGGCCGUGUGUGAAGCUUGCUGCUGUAUCUCCAAGUGUGUGCCAGGAGUUUUCAGUUCCUCCUCCCUCUGAGCUCUGCAUUUGCUCACCCCAGGAAGCUGCUUUGCUAAGGACCAGCUUCCACUGACCUAUCAUGGCAUCCAACAAAUUUGUCAUUAAGUGUGGGAACUUUGCUGUCUUGGUGGAUGUUCAUAUUUUGCCUCAAGGCUCCAGUAAAGACACCAGCUGGUUUUCAGAUCAUGAGAAAGAGGAGGUCUGCAGGCUGCUGGAAGAAGUUGUUGCAUCAAGGGUCAAACACUACUUGGAGGCACGUAAACAGCGUGGUCAGUGGAAGCCCACGGAACAGGGAUCAUCUGGGCCUUUGUUUCUUACCGCCAACAGUUUGCACAUUACUGCCUACUUUAUGAAGAGAUGGGUUAAUCUCCGUUGUGCUCUAGGGAAACGUUAUCGAGAGCUCCGUGUGUUUCCAGAGAAAUUUAUCGUUUGUGUCAGUAAACUUGACUUUGAUCCAAGUGCUUGUACAUGUGACAAUGGUGGAUUGAAAGAAGAACUUUCCAAUGGGACGUCUGAAUAUUUUACUGAAUCUGCUGAGAACAAGAAGCUUAAGAUUAGUCUGAGUGAACAAAUAAAGCAAGACAUCCUGAGAAAAAUUGUGAAGAGGACAAAACCAAGGAGAAGCAGUGCAAGCAAACCUCAAAUCAGCAAGGACUCCAAGAAAGUGUAUCUUGGCUGGGCAGACUCACAGACAGAGAACAGAAACAGCGACUGUGAGGCUUCUCUGAGUGCUCGCUGUGCUGUGAAGCACAGGAGCCCAGGCCUGCUGAAGGACUGCACAAACACAGCUGAGAGCAGCCUGGGCCUUCCUGAGCCAGAGCAGAGAAAGGAUGUUCAUCAGGGACAGCCAGAGGAGGUUCCCAGCCAGCACAAACCUCGCUCUCUGCAGCGGCCAGAGGCGAGGCUGCUCUGUGAGAGCCCUCCGUGCAGCUCCGAGUCAGCGCUGCCGGCUCCUAAACAAAGCCAGAGAGUGACCAGAGCACAGGCUCAGCUCGAGACCUGUGGCUCACAGCAAAAGCUGGAGCAUUUCACAAAAAUGUCCUCUGAAGGGACUCCUUUAACUUACAUCAAUACAGAAAUUAGUGAGUGUGACGAUAAUUGUUUGGGUCCAUUCCUGGAGGAGACGACACCUCUUAAUUCCAAGUUGUUUUCAAAGCAAGAUGUGACAGAGACUAUGGUUGACAGGAAGUCAUUGACUUUGAGAAAAAACCCCUCCUGGUCUCUUUCUGUGAGCAGCAGUGGAGUGCAGACAAGCCAAAAGGAGCCAAGCACAGUCCCUGAAGAGCUGCCUGCAGUGCCAACAUCAUGUCUAGAGCUGCGCCCCGUGUCUUCAGAGAAGCUUUCCCAAAAAAGAAAAAAAGAUGUGGAAAAUGGUCUCGGGAAGUUAAAACUGCGAAGGCUUAAGAAGUCAAAAUCUGAAAUACUGCCUUGAUAGCAUGGGUGGUCAGCCAAGGUUGUGCCUAAGCAAAGUGCAGGAAGCAAUUCAAAAUGAUGGAAAACAAUAGAAAUACAAAAUCAAAAUUAGAGAACACAAUAAGAAAAUUUAGUUAACUAAGGAUCUUAGCCAUUUGGCACUGUAAUACAGCUCAGUGUGACACAGCCCCUGAGGCAGCAGGAGGGCCGGCCAUGUCCGUGGCAUGCAGCAGGCCCAGGAGGGACUGUCCCGCUCUGCCCUGGCCUCGAGGGCUGGGCACAGCUGUGGGCACUGGAGUGUAACAAGGAUAUAGAGGUGUUUGAGAACUUCCAGAGGAGUGCAUGAGGAUGGGGACGCCCUGUGAGGAGCAGCACUGGGUCUGUUCCGCCUGGAGGAGACUGAGGGGACACCUCACUGCAGCUGCAGCCUCCUGCUCUUUGGGUGAUGUUUCUGAGUGCUUUGCAGUCAGGUUGCAAAUCUUUACCCAGCUCCAGGCUCUGCUAAAAGCUUUUUCCCAGUACCAGCAAAACCAAGGCUGCAAAGAACCUGGUUUGGAGGAAGAAGAGCCUGAGUAACCCGGGUGCAGGAGAAGAUGUGGGCUGAGGGAACAGCCGCGUACGGAGCCUUUCAUCACAGGAUAUCAAAGCGCUCCACUGAACCUGGAGGGAGCUGGCAGUGCUGCUUCUGACAGCUUGGGCAGCAUUGAGGGAAGAGCUGCUUCCAAGGGAAAGCAAACUGGGGAAACUGGUUGAAACAAUUUGCACAUCACAGAAGGCGCUUGCUGGCAGAUCUGGGCUGGGACUCCAGCCUGACGCCAUCUGAUCCCGCGUGGCCCUGCUGCUGCCCCAGUGCCAGCUGUAAAAAAAGUACAGAAGAAAGUAUUUCUCACUCUCAGGUUUUUUUAGCGUUCAGUGUAUUCAUAUCGCAGCAAUCUGUAUAUAAAAUACCUGUUUAUUAUUACAAACAAAUACAGAUGCAAAGGCCUAGCCUUGCAGCAGGUUGGUUCAACUGUUUUUCAAUGAACUUGUUACACAGUUAAUUGUUCCUUCAGCUUUGCAGUAGCCCCUUAGCAGAACAGUUUUGCAGCUUCAUCAGAACAUGGUAAAACCAGAGCAGACCCUGAGCCAGCCAGCCCCUGCCCAUAGGUGGGAGGGGCGGCAUUAGUUCAGCAUUCAAAGCCAUCAUGUUGAAUACUUUCAGAGUUUAUUUUAUGCUUUACAAAGCACUUUUUGCCCAUUAGAAAUCAGCAUCAU